CUGGGUGUAGCUCAGCUACGAAGAGCGCGUGGUUCGGGACCAUGAGGCCGCAGGUGCAAUUCCUGUCACCCAGA
rnacentral:tRNA from 2 species